rnacentral:lncRNA from 1 species
CGUGUUUACACACUGAUGUAAUAUGGUUGUUAAACAUUACAAACCUGUAAUAGUAUAAGACACUAUACACCUCGUGUGCUUGCAUUAACUUAUCCAAAAAUAUAUUUAUUUCAAGCCUAAAUAUUUCGACAUGUUAUUUACAUUUAAUAAAUUUUAGAAUCACAAUUUCCGGUUAAGAUUUGACUAAAUACCAAAUUCUUGAUAUCGUCAGGUAAAUAUGCUACUUUUAGUAAAGUACAUUAAGUAUUUGACAUUUCCGGAAUGAGUCCUGCAUCUUCAAGAUUAUAUCAUCAAUACAAACAUGUUAACAUUACAAAUUAAAAAAAAAAAAAAAAAAGCUGAAUGCGGAAGGAUGCACGAUAAUGUAAUAUAAAGUAGUUAUUUUAAAUUAUGAGUUAAAAUUCCAAAAUGAAGAAGUGUUAGCUCAUACAUUUUUGUUUCGGCACACCAUUUGCUUUUUUGAGGAGAAUCUUGAUAUUCUAGAAUUGUCAGGUAAUUUGAUACAUUUUUAUUAUUUUUAUGAAAUAAGUUAUUGAAUAUCAAACUUUUAUUUUUAUAUGAAUGAUUCUUGUAGUAUGCUAUUUCAAUGGUAUGAAUGUUUAGACCUUUUUUUUUCGUCAAUCUUACUCAAGACGUUUCAUGUUUCAUGUUGACACUGUUGUUCUAAUUCAACAAUACAACGUUAGUUAACAUUGAAAUCACACAAACGUCAUCGUCAAAAUGUGUCAUUGUAUUUCCUAAAAUGCACAGUAACCAAGCUUUAUAUAGGGGUUUUAGGGUUCUGUCAUAUUUAUGAAAAUAUAACCAAAUGACAAACGCUUAUUUGUUGCAAAAUCUACAUCAGCGAUAGUCUUUUACUAGUAAUUGUUUGCAUCAUGUGAUAGAGAGAGAGAAAAAGACUUUCUUGUUUUUAUAUAGAUUAGACCGUUGGAGUUCCCGUUUUUAUAUAGAUUAGACCGUUGGUUUUCCCAUUUUUAUAUAGAUUAGACCGUUGGUUUUCCCGUUUUUAUAUAGAUUAGACCGUUGGUUUUCCCGUUUUUAUAUAGAUUAGACCGUUGGUUUUUCCCGUUUUUAUAUAGAUUAGACCGUUGGUUUUCUCGUUUUUAUAUAGAUUAGACCGUUGGUUUUCCCGUUUGAAAGAUUUUAAGUAAUUUUUGGGGCCCUAUAUAGCUUGCUGUUCUGUGUGAGCCAAUGCUCCGUGUUGAAGGCCGUACUUUGACCUGUUAUGGUUUACUUUUGCGAAUUGUGACUUGGAGAGUUGUCUCAUUGGCACUCAUACCACAUUUUAUUUUAACUACUGUUGCGAGUUAUAGUAAAUAAUAAAAAAUCAAUAUGAGGAACAUUUGAAACUAACAUAAAAAUUAUAUUGUCAUCGACAAUAUUUCCGUUCAAAUAAGGUUGUUUAGGUUUUGGAAGUCAGUUUAUGCAAAGGGAGUAGGUCCAGUAAAAAGACCCCUUUUUGGCCCCAAAGUGAAGCAGUUUUUCAAAAUUGUAAAAAUGUAAAUUUUUAGCUAUUUUUUUUUAAAGUAGAAUACUUCUGCUACAUAAGUAUGGACUGAUUUGACAAUACAUUAAACAAUUAUCGGGUACUAGCAUCAUUAAUUUAUGUUAAAUUACUGAAAUCUUCACAAUUUUAGCAUUUGAGGUAAGUUUUAGACGGUUUCUGUCUUAAAUGGAAGUGGCCGCAUUUGUUUUCAUUUUAAUUAUUUAAAUGUAAGUUGUAUGUGAUGAUAAUUUAUAACACAUAUAAAGGACGAGAGUAAACACGGAUGCGGCCACUUUUAUUUUUGACAAAAAACGUCAAAAACAUUUUAUGGCAUAUUCGAUAGAUUUUUUUCAUAUUUUAGCUUCGAAUUUGAGCGUCUUUAAUGACUAAAUCAGUUAAAAAAUUUCAUAUAAACUAAUUGAAUCGACUGAAGUAGACACUUAAGUGUUUAAAAGUGUCCAAAAUCUUUUAUCAGAUGAACCUAAAAUUUGAAGCCAAAAUCGGCUCUUACCGGACCUACUCCUUUACAUAAUCAUCGUUUUAGAAUUGAAUUAAACGAUGAUAUAAAUCUAUGUUUGGUACUUUUUAUUUAAUUUUAUUAAUAUAAAAUAAAUCCUGUAGGCUACACAAACUUUCUGAUGUAACACUGAGAGAGCAAAGGGGAAAUACAAUUGACAGUAUCUCAUUCCUUCCGUUCAAAAUAAACAAUCAAUUUUUGUGUAUUAUGAAUUUAAUGUAAAAGUUUAGAUGGUUAGACAGAUGCACUUAAAAUUCGUAUGAUUCAGAAAUGUUCAAAUGAUUUUUCUAUAAAGUUAAUUUAAGAGCUAUAUGAAUUUCUGGAUGAGGAGUCUUUAUUUGUCUUUUCUUUAAUAUUGUUUUUGUCCAUAGUCUGAUUAUUCUAUUUUCUUAGUUUUGUGAACAUUUUAAGAAAAGAUUGGCACAUGAAAUCAGAAUGAAAAUAUGUGUUCUCUCAUUUGUGAUAAAUCUUCACAAUUUUUUUGUAAUCAAUUACACUGUAGGGUUUACCCCUGAAAAUAUAAUUAUUUUUUCAAACAAAAACAAAGGAAACAAGAAUGUGUCCAAAGUACACAGAUGCCCCACUCGCACUAUCCUUUUCCAUGUUUCAUGGACCGUGAAAUUGGGUAAUAAUCUAAUUUGGCAUUAAAAUUAGAAAGAUUUUACUAUAGGGAACAUAUGUAAAGGUUUACCCCUGAAAAUAUAAUUAUUCUUUCAAACAAAAACAAAGGAAAAAAUGUCCUUCCAAAACCAGUUCCAGACGAGGUUAAUACUAUGAGUAAUUAUGUGGUAUUUCGAAGAAAACACAGAUUUAAUUUACACUGUACCAUACACUUUUCAUAUCGAAAAGUUGUGAAACAUGAAUACAUGGAAAGACCAGAUGAUGUUUCACAUUGCCUUAAAUAUAUGUAAAUUACUAAAAUUACAUUUAUUUUCAUUGGAAAUUGAGUUUGCUUCUGUGAUUUCCGUAUGGAGUGUUACCAAAAUUAGAACACUUUUUAUCAGAUGCUUACCAUCAAUUUCAUAUAUAAAAACAAAAAUUAAGGAAAAAGAUAAUCUGAACAAUAGCGUUGAACUUCCUUCCUCUGAACAGAACUUUUUUCCCGCAGAUUCUGUUAUAUUUAUUUUUUCAUUAUCAAUGAAAGAUGUUUAUCAGCUCUUUGGUCGGUUGAUUGUUUCUUUAACACAUUCCCCAUUUCCAUUCUAAAUUUAUGUAGUUUUGCUUAAGAGUAAUUUGAUAGCCAGUAAUUCAUUUCUACCUAAAAUCUUAAUAUGUCAUUCUAAAUGUACGUUUUCAAGUGCUACACUUGAACUGUAACUUAAACUUAUCAAGCGAUGUAGGAAAAGUUGUUCUUACAAGGUUUUUUGACAGGUAUGACAAGCCGUAUUCUAGCUAAGAUUUAAGGGUGUGGACAGACAGAGUUUUAAGAAAAGGGGCACAGUAGCGCGGUUUCUAAUAUGAAUAAGAACAAAUGGAUCAUAUUCUAAAAAGGAAAAUUGAAAAUGAUUAAAAUGGUAUGAAUGUAAUUUUGAUGGAUUUAUGUUAUGUUUUAUUAGUGAAUUUAUAUUAUUCUUUUUCUAGUAGAAAAAAGUGAUAUUAUUGCAUGAACAGUAUUUAGUAGGGGUACGAUCGUUUAAUUUUCUUGUAAUUUUCAAGGACAAUAAGAAAAUAUAAUAAAUAUAUAUAAGAAAAUGUGGUAUUAAAGCCAACGAGACAACAUAUACUCUCCAUCAAAGUCAAAAUGUAUAAAAUGUUAAUGUACGGUCUUCCACACGGAGCCGUGGUUCACAAUGAACAGUUAGCUAUAAAAGGUCCCAAAACUAAUGACAGGUUUUAUGUAUUUCGCGUGGCAAUGUUUCAAACAAUCAUUACGCGUGACGUCAUGAAAUGAUGGUAUCCUUUUACACGUCUUCUUCUCACAUUCUAUUAUUCUCACUAGGUCUUUGCCAUCCAACACAUUUAUAAAUACAUAAUCCCAUGAAAUAAGACUGAACUUAAUUGUCAAUUUUAUUUUUGUUACGGUUAUUGAAUAUGUUGAUCAAUUCCGGUUGUGAUUUUCCCCUUAGCUAUUUUCAUUAUUUUUAUUGAAACGGUCGUCAUCUUUACUUGGUACGUGUGAAUGUAAAAUAUAAUAAAAAAAAAAAGAGGUCGACAUCAAAUAUAACGUUCCUGUAAUAUGACGGGAUCUACGGAAUUAGACGUAGAUACUGUAACUGCUAAAUCUAUUCAUAUUCGUCAACAGGGGUCUUUGCUCAGUCUCACUUUAAAUAUAAACUUCCCAUAAAUCAGAUGUGAAUUCUUUUAAGCACUUUUCGUAUGAAGGCUAUUGUACAGACAUGGGAUUAAAUUUUGGUUGGUAAAUCGAAAUAACCUGCAACUAUCAUAUAUAUAAAUAAUAACGCAUAUAUAAAUCAGCUAAAGUAAGAGAAGAUAAUUACGUGGUUAUGCAAUAAUAGGUAGUAAUGCCAUAGAAGUCAAAGGAAAACCAAAGAAAUUAGAGGGAAAGUAUAGGAUCCAUCCCCGGUUGGGAAGGUAUACUAAAAACCAGAUCUACUCUAAUACUCUAGCACUUAAUAUUUGUACAUAGUUUUCUUACUUUGUAAAACAUUAACAACUAGUAUUGUAUUAUAUUUGAUAGACCCACUCCGACUGAUGAAAGCUAUUUGUUCAGCCACAAUUAUUAGGUGUCAGACCACCAAUUACUCCCUCCAAUUUAGAACGUAAAAGUAGCCCUACUCUGACACAAAAUAGUGCUUUUGAUGUCCUUGUUUACUUAAACUAACCAACAAAUUUGCAGAAAUGAAACUUUUGGUGAAAGAGAAAUAUAUCUAGAUCAUUUUGAGCCAAAAUUUACUUGUCUAUGAGUUUGCAUUAAAAAUUAUUAAUCCAUGUAUACUAAUUUUAGGUUUCCAGAAAACCACUUCUCAGUUAUUUGUUAGAAGGCUGGAUUGAUACAUGUACUAUCUAUGAAGUUCAGUGCAAUUUGGUUGAACAGAUAGGGAUUUUUAAUUGGUGGUCUGACACCUUAUUAGUAUCGCUGCGAGAGUUUUAAGACAGAUAUAUAAAAUAUUAUCGAAUAAAGACUUAUUAAAUUACCAACAGUAUAAAGUGAACAUUUUAUCAGAAGAAAGGUGUGUAGCCAUGGGUCCUUGAAUUUAUAAAUAAGAUCAAGUAUGUCAACAAAAAAUUCUUUUCUAAUAUUUAUCAAUAUUUUUAUAUCUUUUUAUAUUUCUAUGAAUUCAUAGAGAUAGAUUAGCUUGUUUUAUGCUUCAUAUACAUCUAAAAAGUAAAAUCACAGAAAUACAGAACUCCAACGAAAAUUCAAAAAAGAAAGUCCCUUAUCAAAUGGUAAAAUAAAAAGCUCAAAUACAUCAGACGAAUGGUCAACAACUGUCGUAUUCCUGGCUUGGUACAGGUAUUUUCUUAUGUAGAAAUUGGUGGAUUGAAUCUGUUUUUUUUUUUAAAAUUAAAAUAGCUAGAUAAACCUCUCACUUGUAUGACAGUCGCAUAAAAAUUUCAUUUUACUGACAACGAUGUGUGAACAAAACAAACAGACAUACUACUAGUAGGUAAAAAUAUCAAAAAAAGGAGUACAGUAGUCAACAUUAUGUUAUUAUCUUAAUCACUAUAAAAGAAACAAAAAUGUAAACAAACAUUUACCAUGGCACAAUAACAGAAUGACGGGAUAUAUAGGUAUAGAGCCACGUCAUAUGUAACAAAGAACACACACAGGCAUAUAAUGGUUUACUUCUACAAAUAGUGAAUUGGAUAGCGAGUUGUCUCAUUAACACUCAUACCACAUCUUAUUAUAUCUAUAUAGGAGAUAACAAAUUAGCAAAAAUGAAAAACAAGAAUACAAAAUUUAUCAUAACCCAAUAACACAAUGACGGGAUGUAUAAGUACAGAGCCACGUCAAAUAGAUACCAAAGUAAUUUUCAUAAAGACAAAUAAAUUAAUACUAUAAAUACGUUUACUUAUUUUAAGAUGAUAAACAACGUCAGUACCCAGAACCUAUACUUCAAGAAUAUCGUGUAAUAUUUGUGAAUUUGAUACGGAAUAUAGCAACAAAUUCUUGGGACCUUCCGAUGAACUUUUUGAUAACAGGGACGAGACGGUUUUUGAUAUACCCCUGGUUCAUCGACUUUCUGCUCAGACACUGGUGAUGUUUUACAAAGUCUGAGUAGUUGCUGCAUGCUUUUGAAUAUCGAUUGAGUUGGGAAAUGUAUGAUAUUACGAUGCUGUGUUUGACAAAAUGAAAAGUAUGCUUUAUAACAGCUCUUAACUAUAAACGCUUAGACAAUGAAUUACUUAUUCUGUAUCUGAAACUAAUUUCAAAAAUACAAUUCGUGUUUCAUAUGAUUAAUUGCUACAUUUUAUGUUGUGAUGGUUCCGGCUUUUGUGUUUUAUCAAUUAGUUUUUAAGGUUAAGUAUUCUUUAUGAAUAUAUCCAUCGAUAUUUUUAUAAGCACAAUUUGUAGAUAUCAAUCUUAGAUAUGGACUUAAUCUUAUUAUGUAUCAAUUUUAAAUUUUAAGAAGGAAAGGUGAAAUCGAUUAAAAUAAAUCCCCAGAAAUCAAGUUAAAUGAUAAAGAAAAACUCCAUAUGCACAGAGACUGUCGGAUUUAAAAAAAUCGAAAAUCAAAUAAAUGAAAAACAAUCUGUUUGGUAGAAAUACAACUAGAAAAGUCAUACUUUUUGAUGUUUGAGAUUUGUUUCACAAUAAUAUAAAGUAUAUGGUUUUAUCAUAAACUAGUAUUAUAAUUACCUCGUUAUGAUCUACGGAAACAUUGGUUUAGUGGAUGCGAACUUUGAAUAUUUUCACAAUAUAACAAGAACUCUUCUAUAUAAUUUUGACUUUUACAUUGUUUUAAAGGACCAUGUCAAAAUCUUUAAGCUUAAAUAAUUAUCAAAGGUAUCAGGAUUUUUAUUUAGUACGCCAGACGCGCGUUUCGUCUACAUAAGACUCAUCAGUGACGCUCAUACCAAAAUAGUUAUAAAGCCAAACAAGUACAAAGUUUAAGAGCAUUCAGGAUCCAAAAUUCCAAAAAGCUGUGACAAACACGGCUAAGGUAAUCAAAGCCUGGGAUAAGAAAAUGCUUAGUUUUUCGAAAAAUUCAGGAAAGUUAUAAAAAUUACCAUAUAAUUGAUAUUCAUGUCAAAACUGAUCCUCACAAUUUUGUUUAUAAUCAACUCGAUUAUUGCAGACCUUUAUAUUGCCCGCACUUCAUGGCCCAUAUUCAUAAUCAUCAGCCACGAAAUAUAUACAAUAUUGAUUUUCAAAGAGUCUUUCAUAUUAGAAAUUACAAUAUCGGUUUCUUUGAUAUUUGUUUGUCUAUGAAAAAUAAAGCUUUAAUUUAAUUGUACAUCCAACUUUGAAUAGAGAGGUAGUGGCAAUUUUCCCUGCAUAUAUUCCACACUUUUAAAAAAGGCCUUUCAUUGUUUUAUUUCCUAAUCAACCGUAUGAAAGUUUAUGGUUGCAUCGGAUAGAAAUCGACCAUAUGCAAGUGCCGUAUACAUGUACAUGCAUAAUAUUCAAUUUAUUCUAAAACAUUAAAAUACGAAAUAAAAAGUGAUUAUUUCAACUAAGUCAAAUUUCCUGUUAUGAAAGCAUUCAUAAUUAUAAAAUAUUAUGUAUGAUAGUAUAUUUCAUGAAUACAUUAAUAAGCACAAACAUUGCGUAUGCUUAAUUAUAAUUCUACAAUACAGUUCUGUAAAGGGUUUACUUUUUAAAGAUAAUUAACGAAUUUGCGGCAUUGGCAACAAUAUAUAUUCAAAGAAGAAGAUAGCAUAAAAAUAAGGCAAAACUAUGUUUUGGACGUAUGGUAUCUUUGUAGUAUUCAAUUAUGGACGCAUAGAGGUUUAAUAUAUAAAUGAAGAAAAAUAGUUUUGCCAAAUAAAAUGUGGUGAUGUAAAUUAGAAAUUACAUCCUCUAUUCAAGUAUAAAAAUAAACCAAAGAAACAUUGUAGUAUGAGGCUAAAGGGGUUCAAGCAGAUGCUGGCCACAAUAGAACGCUUAAUUUCUUUAAAGAUUUUUUUUAUACAUGUAAAUCUCAUUAGGUAAUUAUUUGUAUUCGUCAUUAAGUGUUUGCCAGAACUCUGCUUUGAGUGCCAAGUCCAUAAUAUGUGCUCAUAUCUCAAACAACUUCAAUGUAGAUUAAGUGUUGCCAAGACUCUGCAUUGAGCCAGUCAUAAUAUUGUGCUCAUUCUCAAACGACCAUUCAAAUGUGAUUAAGUGUUUGCCAGAACUCUGCUAUUGAGGCCAUAGUCCAUAAUAUGGCUCAAAUAUACUCAAACAACUUCACUAACAGAUUAAUGUUUGCCAGAACCUUCUAUUAGAGGUCAAGUCCAUAAUAUGUGCUCAAGAUAUUUCAACAACUUCAAUGCUGAAUUAAUGUUGUCCUGUUUUGUUUCAUCUUAAAUUUGAAUAUUUAAAAAUUACCGAAAUUCUAUGUAUUGUUUCUAUAUUGAAACCAGGUAAGUUUGCUAUUUAGAGUCGGGGUGCUCAUUUUCGCCUUACCUUUCCAUGUUUUCUAUAGUUUAUGUCAGGUCUAUAGUGUUUUUGAAGUAUACUGAUAUUUCUAUAGGAAGAUACUGUCAAAUGCAAAAUUUUCUUAAAGCCUGAAAACGUCUGUUGUUUUUUAAUAAUAUCUGAAAAGAUAAUAGGGUGUUUGAAAUUGCUGAUAUUUUGACAAUGGGGGACCACAUUCGCCCGUUUUACAUCUACUUUAAAACGAAAUUAACUGCAGCUUUAAACAAUAUUUAGCAAAUCAAUUUAAUUAUAGAUGAAUAGCAAGACAUUUCAAAUGCGUAAAGAACUGACAUUAGGGAAUCAGUCAAAGAAUUACUAACGAAAUGUUCUUUAAAUCGUGUUUUUCAUUCAGGAAAUUGGCCAAAAAUCAUUGUCCGUUUUUUCAGAUCCUUUGCGUAAAGUGCGCAAUUUUGUUCAGUUGAAAAACUAAUCAUUUUGUGAAUUUUUUUUUAAUUUUCCUGCAAUAAUUCUCAUUAUCACCAAACCAAGUUUUAUCACCUCACAAACAUAAAACGGCGAGAAAUUGUGUCCCGCGGGAAUAUGUUGCCCCACUCUAUUUGUUGUUUUAAUUACAUUGAUUUAAAAUGCUAUAUAUAUUUUUUCCUUUCCAGCAAAGAGCUGUCACAUACAUCCGUGCUUUAAAAUUCUCUUUCUAAAAUGAGUUUAGAUGCUAUUGUUGAAGUUUCUUUUACGUGUAUUAAAAAUAUUUUAAUGUCAAUAUAAUGUUUUCCUCUUCUGAUAUAUGAACAUCUUUUCAAAAUUAUAUAGGAAGAAUCUACCACGCCCGUAUCUAAAACUUGUCGCAAGACUGUGACGUUGAUGUCGAACAAUGACGUCAUUCACAUGUGACGUCACGUCAUAGUGACCGAACUUUUGGGACCUUAUGAAUACUUAUCCCGGCUUGGUAUAUUUUCUUANNNNNNNNNNNNNNNNNNNNNNNNNUUUUUUUUUAUAUAUCUCCUCAAUUUAAGACGAUAACACACUUUGCAAAGAGAUUUUCAGUCACCCGAAAUUUGUUAACACCUGUAAUUAAUAUUCAUUGCAGAAAGUCAAUUUCUAUUCAAGAAUCGCUUGAAUGUCGAUCUGGAGCCUAUGUUUUAACCAAGAUAUGGGUUUUGACCAUCAUUUAUUGACUUCAAUAAUGUACAGCUUUGACCAACAUGUACCUGAAAACCGUGACGAUCGUUUGAUAUUCUGAGGGGAUUAGGAUAUUGGAAAUAUUUUGGUCCGGUAAGAACUAACAUAUUGUCCUUGUCCAAAACAGGUUUAAAUUAGAAUUUUGCACAACAAUGGAGAAUGGAAAAAAAUGAAAAAAGUUUGUCAUCAAAACAAUCAAAUAAAACAAGUUUGAAAGCAAUUUGAACAUAAAUAGUAUUAAACUUAUAUGUGUAAUUAUAUAAACUUAUAUGUAUAUACAACUCGUCUAAACAUUAUGUACACGCCAUGCAUCACCAUCAUUGCUGGUGAUCCGAGGAAAAAUCUGUUGUAGAGUUGUCACUCGACUCAGACGUACUGAUAAACUUAUAUGUAUAUAUUUAUACAACUCGUCUAAACAUCAAACCCAACAAUGUUAGAUCUGUAAAUUUGCUUUCACACAUUUUUUUGUUCUUCCCUCGCCGGGAUUCGAACCAUGCUACUGAUAUAUCGUGACACACAAAUUGCCUGCACUGUAACUGGCGCGCUAGACCACACAACAACCUGGGCUUCCGAUACAAAUAUACUGGAGGAGUUAUAUGAUCAGAAGGUUACACAAAAUACAUCUUUGGGAAUCUCGACCUGAGAGAGAUGGAACUAUAGGGAUGACUUUUUUUUGUUUCGGGCUACUAUAAUAUGUUAUCAAUUUCUAUCAACAUUGUGGGGGUUUCAAUCUUAGAAUAUAAUAGCUAGUUUACGAAGUAUGCUGCAAUAUUUGUAUCUAGGGAAUUCUGUUGUUGUCAGUGAACUUAACAUCAUUUAACAUAAUGCAGUUCAUUGCAUACAUUUGUUGACAAUACUAUUUAGUAAAAACAUUCGAACAAAUGCUAAACUCUAAUUCUCUAAAACUAAGUGGUUACGCUUGGUACUUAUAAACAUCAGUUUAGCGGCAAAUGUUUCUUUGUGUUUGUAUCAUACUGUAUAAGAUACAGGAAGUACUAUAACCAGUUGCAGAGACUCGUUACAACAAAAAACAAUUAAGGACAUUUUUUAUAGAACGUUAUAUAUUUUUUUAACUAGUUUAGUGGCAUAAUGUAUGAAGCUGCCCUUCUAUUAAUAAACGGAAACUGCUCCAUUACAGACUAAUAGGGCAUUAGUAAGACCAUUAAAGAAUAAACGGGGCGUUUUGAAAAAAAUACGGGUCUAUCAAUUUUAAUUAAUUUGGAGUUUUAAAAUCCAGAGAGAAAUAUUGUAUUUUGUAAUGCCAUUUAUAAACUUUAAAUAGAAACAGCAAUGAAAACUAUGUUUUUACAUGUACAUGUUUUAUUACAUCAAAUUACUCUUUUGGCGUUGCCUUCUUGCCAUUACAGACACCCCGCUCCCCGACCCCAUUAAAAAUAACCCAGACUUUGAACUUACAACAGGUCAAUUAUGAUAAACAUUCAUAAUUUAAAAAAUAUAUGUUAUAAUGAGUUAUUUCCAUUAAUAUUACAUUAAUAAGCACAAACAUUGCGUAUGCUUAAUAUAAUUCUACAAUACAGUUCUGUAAAGGGCUUUACUUUUUAAAGAUAAUUAACGAAUUUGCGGCAUUGGCAACAAUAUAUAUUCAAAGAAGAAAGAUAGCAUAAAAUAUAGCAAAACUAUGUUUUGGACCUAUGGUAUCUUUGUAGUAUUCAAUUAUGGACGCAUAAGGUUUAAUAUAUAAAAAGGCAAAAAUAUGUUUGCCAAAAUAAAAUGUGGUGAUGUAAAUUAGAAAUACAUCCUCUAUUCAAGUAUAAAAAUAAACCAAAGAAACAUUGUAGUAUUAGAGGCUAAAGGGGUUCAAGCAGAUGCUGGCCACAAUAGAAUGCUUAAUUUCUUUUAAAGAUUUUUUUUUAUCAUGUAACAUCUCAUUAGGUAAUUAUUUGUAUUCGUAUUAAGUGUUUGCCAGAACUCUGCUUUGAGUGCCAAAGUCCAUAAUAUGUGCUCAUAUCUCAAACAACUUCAAUGUAGAUUAAGUGGUUGCCAGCUCUGCAUUGAGGCCAAGUCCAUAAUAUUCUCAUAUUCAAACACCACUUCAAAUGUAGAUUAAGUGUUUGCCAGAACUCUGCUAUUGAGUGCCAAGUCCAUAAUAUGUGCUCAAUAUCUCAAACAACUUCACUACAGAUUAAGUGUUUGCCAGAACUCUUCUAUUGAGUGUCAAGUCCAUAAUAUGUGCUCAAUAUUUCAAACAACUUCAAUGCAGAUUAAGUGUUUCCUGUUUGUUUCAUCUUAAAUUUGAAAUUUAAAACAUUACCGUAAAUUCUAUGUAUUUGUUUCUAUAUUGAAACCAGUAAAGUAUUGCUAUUUAGAGUCGGGUGCUCAUUUUCGCCUUACCUUUCCAUGUUUUCUAUAGUUUAUGUUCAGGUCUAUAUGUUUUUGAAGUAUACUGAUAUUUCUAUAGGAAGAUAACUUCAAAUGCAAAAUUUUCUUAAGCUUGAAAACGUCUUUUUUUUUUAAAUAAUCAUCUGAAAAGAUUAAAGGGUGUUUGAAAUUGCCUGAUAUUUUGACAAUGGGGGACACACAUUCGCCGUUUUUACACAUCUAUUUAAAACGAAAUAACUGCAGCUUUAAACAAUAUUUAGCAAAUCAAUUUCAUUAUAGAUGAAUAGCAGACAUUUCAAAUGCGUAAAGAACUGACAUUUAGGGAAUCAGUCAAAGAAUUACUAAGAAAUAGUUCUUUAAAAUCGUGUUUUUCAUUCAGGAAAUUGGCCAAAAAUCAUUGUCCGUUUUUCGAUCCUUUGCGGUAAGUGCCGCAAUUUUGUCUCAGUUUGAAAAAUAAUCAUAUUUGUGAAUUUUUUUUAAUUUUCCUGCAUAAUUCUUCCAUUUCAACCAACCAAGUUUUACACCUCAAAAACAUAAAACGGCGAAAUUGUGUCCCCGGCGAAUAUGUUGGCCCCACUCUAUUUGUUGUUUUAAUUACAUUAGAUUUAAAGAUGCAAUAUAUAUUUUUUUCCUUUUCCCAAAAAGAGCCUGUCACAUACAUCCCGUGCUUUAAAACUCUCUUUCUAAAAUGAGUUUAGAUGCAUACUUGUUGAACGUUUCUUUUACGGUAUUUCAAAAAUAUUUUAAUGUCAAUAUAAUUGUUUUCCUCUUCUGAUAUAUGAACAUCUUUUCAAAAUUAUAUAGGAAGAAUCUACCACGCCGUAUCUAAAAUCUUGUCGCAAGACUGUGACGUUGGAUGUCCAACAAUGACGUCAUUCGACAUAUGACGUCAUGUCAUAGUGACCGAACUAUUUGGGACCCAUUGAUGAAUACUUAUCCCCGGGAUUUUGAUUUGUUAACGCACGUCGUUACAAAACCCAUAGCCCUGAGUGUUGCUCAACAUCACCAGACGUUGCUACCCUUACAUUGGGGAAAUUCACGCGCGUUUUCCUUAGUUCCAUGGUUGUUCCUUAUGAAAUAUCGAAUUCUGUAGAUUAUCCAUGAUGUCUGUAUAAUUAGAUACUUAAGCCACUCACGAUUUUAUCUUGUUAUGUCGAUUAUUUGCAAUCAUUUUAGUAAAUGCAUCACUAUUCUGCCACAUUGUCAAUGAAUGGGACACUGACCUAGCUAUGCAAAUGACCUGUGUUGACGUUACACCGUCUAUGAUGUAACUCUCACAACUUUUCAGCGCCAAAAUCGACCCAUUUCACUUUCUCUAUCUUUAGAUUAAAAAUGUCUUAUAUUUGUCUACCUGUAGAGUUCUACCAAAGUACACCCCGUCAAAAAUAUGUCAAAAUCUCAAAUUUCAAUAAAAGUAAUUUAAAAAAAUGAAAAAAACGUUACUUUCAUGUUAAACUUUGUGGUCGAAUUUCUCUAAAAAUUGCCAGAUUUAGGCUAAGACCGGGGAUAAAUUCGUUAUCUAUGUUCAUAUCCGUAGAUAUGGAUAUUUUAACACCCUUCAGAACCCUGUACACCCUUCGGCUGCGACUCGGGGUGUACUUGGAUAAUUCAGGGUGUUAAAAUAACCAUAUAUAUGAACGUAUAUAACUUAUAAUAUAACCAUGUUUGAACUUUAGUCUUUCAUUUGAAAAAGAUACAGUACUGAAGAGAAGCUUUAAUAAAUUAAAACAUGGAUAUGUGUUCCUCCGGCACAGUCGGUGUGGACACAUAUGUCCCUCCGGCAGCAAGGUGCAUUCUAAACACCUUCUUUGUUCCAUUCGUUUAUAUAUAGGUUGUAAAUUAUUUUGUGUUAAUCAGUGAAUUUCUGUAUAGUUUCAGAUGCAGACUAAUGGCAUGGAGAACUACAUUUCAAAAGAUAACUAUUUCAUUAAUUGUGUUUUGUAUAAUUUUAAAUGGAAUAGUAAUCCGUGUGCCUAUGUUAAACUUUAGCAGAUCCCUGGAAUAUUUAGUUAGUAUUAUUCAAAAGGACACAAUUCUUUCUAAAGAUAUGGUAUGCAACAGGUAUCGUCACCUAUUAUGGGAUCUACACUCAGAUGCGUUUGAACAAUCCGUUGUAUAUGAUUACGUCAUUUUUACGUCAUUUGUAGCAUCAACAAAAAGGUUUAUUGUUCAUAACAAUACAAAACGAAACUGGCCGUCCCUUGGUGGAAACGUGAAAGCAGUAUUAUUCACAAACAGUCCCCAAUUAGCAGACGAAUUUAAAAUAGCGUGCUGGGAUGUUUUGCCUGUAGAACACGUUUCCAAAUCAGGAACACCCAUCCUUAAGUUUAUGUACAUGGCAAUUGCUAAACGCUAUAAAGCUUCGUUCAUAGGAUAUGCAAAUUCUGAUAUUUUAUUUACAAAUGGAUUAACGGAAAACCUUGAACUUCUUAAGAACAACUCAAUGUUAAACAAUACACAUACCAUGGCUACAGGUAGAAGGACAGAUGUUGCGAAUGUAAGCACGGACGAAGCAGGAUCUUUUAAAUCUUUAAUCCAUGUUUCGAGAAAGCGAGGGAGACUCUUCCGUUCAGAUGCUGAGGACUAUUUUUUCACUGACAGAUCUUAUCCAUGGGACGUUUUACCGGAUCUGGUGAUAGGUCGGGUUGCAUAUGAUAACUUUAUAUUGCUGCAUGCAAGGAUGUUAAAUUUUAGUACCAUCGACUUUUCCAAAACUGUUAGUGCUAUUCAUCAAGUCGUAGAUAAAGGCCAUAUGGAAGAAAAAUGGAAAACAAUAGAAAACGAACGAAAUUACAAUAAAAUCCUCAUAAAAAACAAUUUCCGUGAUGUAAAUUAUUAUGCAGGUACUACAAGUUGUUUGAGAUAUGAAACAAGACGAAAAACUAAUGUAACUGUAUUACAGAGGAGGCAAAAACUCCAUAAAAUUUGUUUAUAUACCACAGGCAUUUUAUCAAAGCGUUCAAAUGGAUGAAAAAACAAAUUAGUUUAAACAUAUUUUAUUUGCUCAAAGCAAAAAAGAUCAGACACAAGUAAACCAUACUUAUAAGUUUCUCCAAAAUACAAUAUAUAUAACAAUACAAAUUGAACGUGAGC